GAAAAAUUAGUUAAUUAAAUAACAUAAGCCUGUCACGCUUAAAUAAUCAUUAAUCUAUGAUAUUUUUCG
rnacentral:tRNA from 1 species